rnacentral:rRNA from 1 species
AUUGAACGCUGGCGGCAGGCCUAACACAUGCAAGUCGAGCGGUAGAGAGAAGCUUGCUUCUCUUGAGAGCGGCGGACGGGUGAGUAAUGCCUAGGAAUCUGCCUGGUAGUGGGGGAUAACGUUCGGAAACGGACGCUAAUACCGCAUACGUCCUACGGGAGAAAGCAGGGGACCUUCGGGCCUUGCGCUAUCAGAUGAGCCUAGGUCGGAUUAGCUAGUUGGUGAGGUAAUGGCUCACCAAGGCGACGAUCCGUAACUGGUCUGAGAGGAUGAUCAGUCACACUGGAACUGAGACACGGUCCAGACUCCUACGGGAGGCAGCAGUGGGGAAUAUUGGACAAUGGGCGAAAGCCUGAUCCAGCCAUGCCGCGUGUGUGAAGAAGGUCUUCGGAUUGUAAAGCACUUUAAGUUGGGAGGAAGGGUUGUAGAUUAAUACUCUGCAAUUUUGACGUUACCGACAGAAUAAGCACCGGCUAACUCUGUGCCAGCAGCCGCGGUAAUACAGAGGGUGCAAGCGUUAAUCGGAAUUACUGGGCGUAAAGCGCGCGUAUGUGGUUUGUUAAGUUGGAUGUGAAAUCCCCGGGCUCAACCUGGUAACUGCAUUUGAAUUGACUGAUUCAGUCUGGGAAAAGGUGGUGGACUUUCCUGUGUAGCGGGAAAAGGAGGGA